rnacentral:sRNA from 1 species
AGGGAACUCAACUCUUAGGAAAUUUGAGAGUCCUUGUUCUCCUUAACUUUUCUCUACAAUUUUCAGUUAAUACUCUAUUAACCACUGAACAACUAUCACAUAGUGGUUAAAAUCUUCUAAACUAUUGGCAAGCUCUUCUGGUGUAUCCAUGACAUGCGAAUUGGGACAGCAGAACUAGAUGAGGGACAUCGUGUUAAUGUUAUUGACAUCCCAGGACGGAGAGGUGCUAAAUAUUGAAUCUCUAAUAGCCAUGGAGGGGAAGGAGGCCGAGGAAGGGAAGGAGAUGGUAUGACAAAUCUUAAAUUGUAGACCCUUCAACAACCGCAAAG